ensembl:lncRNA
UAGGAAGGUGAUAGUGAUCGUGAUAGAAAGGAGAUGGAUAGUGAAAGUGAUAGAAAGGUGAUAGAUAGUGAUGGUGAUAGAAAGGUCAUAGUGAUCGUGAUAGGAAGGUGAUAGUGAUAGUAAGGUGCUAAACUUAACCAACUGGUGUCUUCACUCAGCGUCCAAACACUUAAGUGUUAUUAAAAGAAAAGGUGAUGAAGUCAACUGUCCCAACCUUUUUGAACUUGUUUUUUUUUUUUUUUAACGUGUUUUCAGAAGCAUGAUCUAAGCAUUGUUCUUGAAGGUUUUAAACAAACACUGAGCCCUUCUGCCUCUCUGAAAUUGUACCUUCCGAAUGUGAUUAAACAGCUGAAAGCUAUACCUUUUUAACAAAGCCCCCGGCCCGGAGGGCAUUUGUGGUAGAACCCUUAUUCACUGUGCAGAGCAGCUCAGUGUGGUAUUUCACGCAUUGUUUCAAGCUUCAUGGGAUCAGGCUAUAGUUCCUCAGUUAUGAAAAACCUCUACUGUAGUACCUAUUCCUAAGCAGAAGAAGUCUCGCUCUCAUUUCAUGACUACCGGCCUGUCGCAUUAACGUCAUUAGUUAUGAAAGCCUUGGAAAGAGAGGUUUGUGAAGUCACAGCUUAUGACAGUCACAGGUGAGAAGUUAGACCCAUUACGGUUUGCUUAUCGCGCUAGGAAAGGUGUGAAUGAUGCACUUCUGCUCGACCGUUGUUUGUUUUCUCCUCGGUGUUUUAUACUUUCGAUUCGAUUCUUUUAGCAAAGAAACUCGUCGAUCGAUUUCAUGUCAGUCAUGGGCUGGUUUCAUGGAUCUUAGACUUUUGAAGCGGUAGGCAGCAGAGGGUCAAGAUGAAUGGAGUUUUUUCAGACACACUUUAUACAUCUAUUGGAUUUCCACAGGGUUGUAUACCGUCAACAACUCUUUUCAUACUUUAUACCAAUGAGUGCUGAAGUUCUCAGGAUAACCGUCAUGCUAUUAAACACACAGCUUUCCUAUCCCCGCUAUCAAGUUCAGAGCGUGAUGGUAGUCAGGUACGUAAUGAGUUUAUGAUGUGGUGCAAUGGAGCGGCGUUGCAACUAAAUAUUACUAAAACAAAAGAGACGGUGAUUCUUUUUAGAAAAAAAUGUUUCCAAG